rnacentral:rRNA from 1 species
GAGCGUUGUCCGGAAUUAUUGGGCGUAAAGAGCUCGUAGGCGGUGUGUCACGUCGGCCGUGAAAACCUGCAGCUUAACUGUGGGCGUGCGGUCGAUACGGGCAUCACUGGAGUUCGGCAGGGGAGACUGGAAUUCCUGGUGUAGCGGUGAAAUGCGCAGAUAUCAGGAAGAACACCCGUGGCUAAGGCGGCUCUCUAGUACGGUACUGACGCUGAGACGCGAAAGCGUGGGGAGCGAACAGG